GGAUAUGCUAAAAUAAUUUACUUACAUGUAAUUACUAGUUUUCUCAAAAUUUUUAUUUUUAUUGUUAUUAUGUAAAAAAAAAAUUCAUUAUUAAUAUCAAAGUAUUAAGUAUUAUUCAUUUAUCAAUUUUGCACAAAAUUAAAUUUCUAUCAUUACAGUACCAUCUAACUCCUCGCUCUAACACUUGCCACUCUCCCAAGAAAAGUUAACACCCUGUUUAGCUUGCAUAUUUACCUUUCAGAAUCCGAGCAACGAGGUUAGAUUUGUCAGAAUCCUCCAGCCUUGUUAUUGAGAAAUUUGCGCUUGAUUGAUGAGGUUAUGGAUUUCCCUUCUUCCAUGGACAGAGAGGGUUGGGAAUUUCUUUUUUUUUUUUUAAGAUGAGAAUUUGAAUUUAAAACCUUAUAAUUUUAUAAAUAAUUUAAAUAUUAUGGAAUUAAAGAAUUAAUUCCAUGUUGAUUUCGACAUUGAAAUAAUGGCAGAACUGGCUGUGACCAUUUAUAAUAACAGCCUCAUUCCCCACCGCAGAAUUUCGAACAAAGAAAGCAUCAAGAAUGGGUCCCUUAUGCCGUCUUUCAAUACUACCAUGAUGACAGACUAAUACCAUGCUGUGAGAACGACAUCAUUUCACGUCUAGAACUUCAGAUAAAAAAAGAUUUUUCACGCUACAUUACACGCACAAAUCAUCCCUUCCAAGUUCUUUACUUCUGCUACCUUUCCCAAAUUUAAGGAGUCAGGUGCUAAGUUAAAAUCCAAAACAAGGAAACCCCGUUCUAGUGUUUUUUGCUACGUCCUAUUCUCUAAUGAUUUAAUUUAUUUCUAAAACUUCAUUUGUAAAUAUACUUUAAUUUUCAAUAGUAAUUAAUAAAGUUAUGACACUACUACGUAUUAUGAUAUUAGUUUAAUGUAUCUUGUACUUCCAUCUUUAAUAAAAAAAAAUAAACAAUAUUCACGUAAAUAUUAAGAUAGUAGUAUAGUAAGGAUUCUUA
rnacentral:misc_RNA from 1 species